UACGGAGGGGGCAAACGUUGCUCGGAAUUAUUGGGCGUAAAGCGCACGUAGGCGGCCGUCUAAGUCGGGUGUGAAAGCCCAGGGCUCAACCCUGGAAGUGCACUCGAAACUGGACGGCUUGAAUAUGGAAGAGGGUCGCGGAAUUCCCGGUGUAGAGGUGAAAUUCGUAGAUAUCGGGAGGAACACCAGUGGCGAAGGCGGCGACCUGGGCCAAUAUUGACGCUGAGGAGCGAAAGCGUGGGUAGCAAACAGG
rnacentral:rRNA from 1 species